UACGGAGGGUGCAAGCGUUAUCCGGAUUCACUGGGUUUAAAGGGUGCGUAGGCGGGCAGGUAAGUCCGUGGUGAAAUCUCUGAGCUUAACUCAGAAACUGCCAUGGAUACUAUUUGUCUUGAAUAUUGUGGAGGUAAGCGGAAUAUGUCAUGUAGCGGUGAAAUGCUUAGAUAUGACAUAGAACACCAAUUGCGAAGGCAGCUUACUAGACAGUUAUUGACGCUGAGGCACGAAAGCGUGGGGAUCAAACAGG
rnacentral:rRNA from 1 species